rnacentral:rRNA from 1 species
AACGCGAAGAACCUUACCAAGGCUUGACAUGUAGGGAAAUCCGGCAGAGAUGUCGGGUCCGCAAGGGCCCUGCACAGGUGGUGCAUGGCUGUCGUCAGCUCGUGUCGUGAGAUGUUGGGUUAAGUCCCGCAACGAGCGCAACCCUCGUCCUAUGUUGCCAGCGGGUAAUGCCGGGGACUCAUAGGAGACUGCCGGGGUCAACUCGGAGGAAGGUGGGGAUGACGUCAAGUCAGCAUGCCCCUUAUGUCUUGGGCUGCACACAUGCUACAAUGGCCGGUACAGAGGGCUGCGAAACCGCAAGGUAGAGCGAAUCCCAAAAAGCCGGUCUCAGUUCGGAUCGGGGUCUGCAACUCGACCCCGUGAAGUCGGAGUCGCUAGUAAUCGCAGAUCAGCAACGCUGCGGUGAAUACGUUCCCGGGCCUUGUACACACCGCUCUC